rnacentral:rRNA from 1 species
UACGGAGGAUCCAAGCGUUAUCCGGAUUUAUUGGGUUUAAAGGGUGCGUAGGCGGCCUGUUAAGUCAGGGGUGAAAGACGGUGGCUCAACCAUCGCAGUGCCCUUGAUACUGAUGGGCUUGAAUGGACUAGAGGUAGGCGGAAUGUGACAAGUAGCGGUGAAAUGCAUAGAUAUGUCACAGAACACCGAUUGCGAAGGCAGCUUACUAUGGUCCUAUUGACGCUGAGGCACGAAAGCGUGGGGAUCGAAC